rnacentral:rRNA from 1 species
UACGGAGGGAGCUAGCGUUGUUCGGAAUUACUGGGCGUAAAGCGCACGUAGGCGGCUUUGUAAGUUAGAGGUGAAAGCCCGGGGCUCAACCCCGGAAUUGCCUUUAAGACUGCAUCGCUUGAAUCCGGGAGAGGUGAGUGGAAUUCCGAGUGUAGAGGUGAAAUUCGUAGAUAUUCGGAAGAACACCAGUGGCGAAGGCGGCUCACUGGACCGGUACUGACGCUGAGGCGCGAAAGCGUGGGGAGCAAACGGG